rnacentral:miRNA from 1 species
CUAGAACGGAGCAAAAAGACAA